CCUUCGGGUGGCAGCAGUGGGGAAUAUUGCACAAUGGGGGAAACCCUGAUGCAGCACCGCCGCUUGCGUUCCUCCUUCUUUCUUUCUUUCCCUCUCUCUCCUCCUUUCCUCCCAAAUACUGUACCUGACUACGAAGCCCCGGCUAACUACGUGCCAGUAGCCGCGGUAAUACGUAGGUGGCAAGCGUUAUCCGGAUUUACUGGGUGUAAAGGGAGCGUAGACGGCUGUGCAAGUGUGCAGUGAAGGCCCAGGGCUCAACCCUGGGACUGAUGGGGAAACUGGGGAGCUAGAGUGCUGGAGAGGUAAGUGGAAGUCCUGGUGUAGCGGUGAAAUGCGUAGAUAUUAGGAGGAACACCAGUGGCGAAGGCGGCUUACUGGACAGUAACUGACGUUGAGGCUCGAAAGCGUGGGGAGCAAACAGGAUGAGAGAAAAAGGGAGUC
rnacentral:rRNA from 1 species